GAGAAACAAUAGCCAUUGGUUCGAAGUCAAACAACAUUGAGGCUAACAACGAAUGAGCGGGUCAGCGUUCAACCAAACGAAUGUUCGAAAUAUCAUCAGCUUUGUUUUAUAUGUUGUCUUCUGCACCAAAAAAAUUACAGAAAUAUAGUCAAAAUGUAAGAUUUUGCACCGCUAUGUAAAAAAAAAAAAGAAGAGAGAGAGGGAAACUGUUGAGUUCUCUGUCAUCAUUGCUUCCAAAGUAAUAGUAUUAGAAGUGCCGUCCAGUGUAUUGAUAAAUCUGACUGCAUUAGUGUCACUUGGGGAGCAGGGGGUUCAAUUUGUGGUCGAUCCUACGAUGCUUACAGACUUUCUUAAGAGUGUCAUCUGUAAUACGGAAAUUAGUAAAAACAAAAGGUUCUUACAAUGUUUGAGAGUGACUUACUAAUAAAGCUAUAUAAUAGCGAUUCCACAAAUACAGAUUAUACCAGUGUACAAUUUAUUUAAGCAUAAUAAGUUGUGUGAACUCUCGGUGAACUUGGAAACGUCAGCAAUACAAAUAAACUAAUUUUCAACAGUCUACCACACACGUCAUUUAUGCAACAAAAGUGUAUUGAAUUUGAAUAAGGAACUCUUAAAGUAUAAAACUGUCAUCUGGUUUAAAUAAGUUAAGUUCCUACACAGCUUUUGCCUUAACUGGAACUAUGUGGUACGGACAUCUCUAAAACCAAACAAAAGGAUGUUCUUAUUUUGUGAUAUAAACAUGUGUGAUGGUGCGUGCUCAUGCAGACGCAUGCUCGUGCAGGCGAGUGCUCAUGAAGGCAAUGCUCCAGAAGUUUAUGCAGAGCGCGGAGGACCGUGUUGUUCACAGUGGCUCUGGUACAUGCUGUGGCACUGGAUUACAAUGGGCGUGAUGAACUCCCGACCAAAACGGGGAGGUCGAGCGUCAGAAUCGCGAUAUUUUAAAACGUCUGAAGAUUUGUCAAGCAG
rnacentral:lncRNA from 1 species